GCCCUGCAGCCAAGGCUCCGGGGAUGCACAGAAAGAACGUAGGGAGGAAAGGAGAGUGGCCAGGGGGCCGGCAGCGAUGAGGGAGGGGACGCUCCCGCAGGAACCGCCUCCUGGCCCACAGCAGCAGAGACUCCAGCCAUCACACACAUGCUCCACACCUGACUGCAAGGAAGAGAUGGAGAAUGGCUGCUCCUCCCUUCCAGAUCUGCCCAGGAAUUCCAGUGGCCCCCUGCUCACCACUUAGUCCUGUACCCCCCCUGGGAUGUGCAGGAGCCCGGGAGAAAAAGCCUUUUUAGAUGCCCAGCCCAGCGAGUUCCUGGUCUCUUACAGAAAAGGAAGAAAGACAUGCAUCAAGAUGAUCCCUGGUUUCUAGGACAGUGACGCCCAGGGAUUUGGGAACCUGGGACAGCCCACAGGAAAAGCAAGGUAAGCAAGAGCAAGCAUUGUUGUUCAGACUUAAGUGGUGCCCUUCCGCAUUGCUAAGAAUCCCUCAUGAUAUAGUCAUCCUUCUCUUCUUGGUAUGAGAGGGAGACACCUUUACAAAUGGAAGUAGGUCUCCUUCACAGACGUAAAUUUCCCUGACAAAAAGGUAACUUCUGGCCUGUUUUCAGAGCUUCUCCUGGGUCUGCAGUGUUUCAAAAUUAUCAGCUCA